rnacentral:tRNA from 1 species
GGGCCAUUAGCUCAGUUGGUAGAGCAUCUGACUUUUAAUCAGAGGGUCAGAGGUUCGAAUCCUCUAUGGCUCACCA